UUUGUAGAUCUAUAAGUAUAACCCAAACUUCUCUUUCUCCCGGUCACCUUUGUUUGUCUUAAGUGUUUUUUGUGGGUGAUUGUUUGUCUAUAUUGGGGACACACUUUGGUAAGUUAGUAGUGUCCCCACUCUGAGUCAGCAGUAUGGGAAAUGUGAGUUCAUGUCCUGAGUGACCAAUAUAUGUAUGUAUAUAUGUGUGUGUAUAUGUAUAUAUGUGUGUGUAUAUGUAUAUGUGUAUAUAUAAGAUAGCAGUACUUUUAAACAAAUUGAGGUUUUAAAAAUACAUAGGGCUUAAGGAGAGAACGCAGGUAACUUGUUUUUCUUUGGUUUUUACCAUAUAUUGGGACUGAUGUGUACUGUAGUCCUUGCUGCUGCCCAGUAGUGAUGGGAGUGAGCGCAGGACUUAUCUUUCUGCAAGAUAGCAGUACUGUAUAUUAGAAAAGAAAUGACUCACAGGUUGUACCUGAUAGACCUACUUAAAUCUUUU